rnacentral:misc_RNA from 1 species
GAUGAAGAACGCAGCGAAAUGCGAUAAGUAAUGUGAAUUGCAGAAUUCAGUGAAUCAUCGAAUCUUUGAACGCACAUUGCGCCCUUUGGUAUUCCGAAGGGCAUGCCUGUUCGAGCGUCAUUAUCACCCCUCAAGCCCCGGCUUGGUGUUGGGCUCUCGGUGGUCGUCUCCGACCACCCGUCUCAAAGAUAGUGACGGCGUCCCAGAGGGAACCGGUACGAGGAGCUUUCACGAGCAUGUACGCGGGACGACUCUGCGGGCGACGGUCUUAUUUACUUUAUAUACAAGUGUUGACCUCGGAUCAGGUAGGAAUACCCGCUGAACUUAAGCAUAUCAAUAAGCGGAGGA